rnacentral:rRNA from 1 species
GACGAACGCUGGCGGCGUGCUUAACACAUGCAAGUCGAACGAAGAGCGAUGGAAGCUUGCUUCUAUCAAUCUUAGUGGCGAACGGGUGAGUAACGCGUAAUCAACCUGCCCUUCAGAGGGGGACAACAGUUGGAAACGACUGCUAAUACCGCAUACGAUCUAACCUCGGCAUCGAGGAAAGAUGAAAGGUGGCCUCUAUUUAUAAGCUAUCACUGAAGGAGGGGAUUGCGUCUGAUUAGCUAGUUGGAGGGGUAACGGCCCACCAAGGCGAUGAUCAGUAGCCGGUCUGAGAGGAUGAACGGCCACAUUGGGACUGAGACACGGCCCAGACUCCUACGGGAGGCAGCAGUGGGGAAUCUUCCGCAAUGGACGAAAGUCUGACGGAGCAACGCCGCGUGAGUGAUGACGGCCUUCGGGUUGUAAAGCUCUGUUAAUCGGGACGAAAGGCCUUCUUGCGAACAGUUAGAAGGAUUGACGGUACCGGAAUAGAAAGCCACGGCUAACUACGUG